UGUGACGUCACAAAGGGAAACAUAGUUGUGCCAAAGCCCCAUAGCCAUGUGUUCAAGGCCAAUGAUGUUGUAGGCAGAGAAGACCUGUGCCACACAGCUGCCACCUACACAGAACCUGUAACUUAAAACUACCAAAGAGCCCACAGUGUGCUAAGACAGGGGCUGCGUGAACUCUGUGCAAUGAAGGAGAGAAAUUCUGUGCCCAGGAUAGUUGAUUUCUUGACCUGGGGCUCCUUGAGUACGUCGUCACUUCCAAAUGGGAUACGAUCCUUCUGAGACUGCUGAAACAAAUGGAGUGCAUGUGGACAAGCUUCUUCAGAUCCUUCAGCUUCUUAUCACGAACUUUCCUUUCUCGGUAGAUGAUUUCUUCUUGGUUCAGGAGCUGUGCCUGCAUUUUGGAGGGAAGAGAAGCCGGUGAUUGAUGAUCUGAAUAGCACCCUUUGGAACAGAGAGAAGAGGAGAAGAAUUAAAGAAGCCUCAAUGAUUGUGCGGACAAUCAUCCAGGGUUUUCAGUUUUUUGCAUUUUCAUUCUGUGCAGUGAUAUAACGGGACAGGGAUCACCACCUACCUCUCCAGUUUUAUUUUUCACAGACCCUUGCUCUGCUGGAUGUUCGUGGAAUGCAGCCUUGAUGACUUUUUCUUCUCCCUGAAAAAAACCCCAAAUAACUGUUUUCAUUUUCUGAAAGUCUGACAUAAAUCCAAGAUGCAUACAAGAUGGAAGCAUAUUUCUUUGAACAGAGCUUGCCUUUUACAAGUAGGAAGGUCUCUGUGCUAAGAGACAACAUUGCAAAGGACUUGAGCUGCUACACUUGAACUUCAGGUUAGCACAUGUAUAUUUUCCAUGCAUUUUCUUUGACACACUGUACACAUUUUGAACAUAACACAUUAAUCAUGUGCUUUUUCUUCUCAAUAUUUGUAAAUACAACUUGUUUGGCCGGUAGGAGAACUUUUUGAAAGUCUAAGGUAUCCAGAAGUAGCUUUAGUUUGUUAUCGGGCAGCAAAAUCUGUAUCACAUACAGUCAAAUCUGCAGUCACUAUCUUAAGCAAGUGCAGAAAUUGAAAUAAAGUUGUUGAUUUGCUUGAGUUCUA